rnacentral:rRNA from 1 species
AGCGUACACGGUGGAUGCCCUGGCAGUCAGAGGCGAUGAAGGACGUGCUAAUCUGCGAAAAGCGUCGGUAAGGUGAUAUGAACCGUUAUAACCGGCGAUGUCCGAAUGGGGAAACCCAGUGUGAUUCGUCACACUAUCGUUAACUGAAUACAUAGGUUAACGAGGCGAACCGGGGGAACUGAAACAUCUAAGUACCCCGAGGAAAAGAAAUCAACCGAGAUUCCCCCAGUAGCGGCGAGCGAACGGGGAGCAGCCCAGAGUCUGAAUCAGCUUGUGUGUUAGUGGAACGGUCUGGAAAGUCCGACGGUACAGGGUGAUAGUCCCGUACACCAAAAUGCACAGGUUGUGAACUCGAAGAGUAGGGCGGGACACGUGGUAUCCUGUCUGAAUAUGGGGGGACCAUCCUCCAAGGCUAAAUACUCCUGACUGACCGAUAGUGAACCAGUACCGUGAGGGAAAGGCGAAAAGAACCCCGGCGAGGGGAGUGAAAAAGAACCUGAAACCGUGUACGUACAAGCAGUGGGAGCACCUUCGGGUGUGACUGCGUACCUUUUGUAUAAUGGGUCAGCGACUUAUAUUCUGUAGCAAGGUUAACCGUAUAGGGGAGCCGCAGGGAAACCGAGUCUUAACUGGGCGUUAAGUUGCAGGGUAUAGACCCGAAACCCGGUGAUCUAGCCAUGGGCAGGUUGAAGGUUGGGUAACACUAACUGGAGGACCGAACCGACUAAUGUUGAAAAAUUAGCGGAUGACUUGUGGCUGGGGGUGAAAGGCCAAUCAAACCGGGAGAUAGCUGGUUCUCCCCGAAAGCUAUUUAGGUAGCGCCUCGUGAAUUCAUCUUCGGGGGUAGAGCACUGUUUCGGCUAGGGGGUCAUCCCGACUUACCAACCCGAUGCAAACUACGAAUACCGAAGAAUGUUAUCACGGGAGACACACGGCGGGUGCUAACGUCCGUCGUGAAGAGGGAAACAACCCAGACCGCCAGCUAAGGUCCCAAAGUCAUGGUUAAGUGGGAAACGAUGUGGGAAGGCACAGACAGCCAGGAUGUUGGCUUAGAAGCAGCCAUCAUUUAAAGAAAGCGUAAUAGCUCACUGGUCGAGUCGGCCUGCGCGGAAGAUGUAACGGGGCUAAACCAUGCACCGAAGCUGCGGCAGCGACACUAUGUGUUGUUGGGUAGGGGAGCGUUCUGUAAGCCUGCGAAGGUGGCCUGUGAGGGUUGCUGGAGGUAUCAGAAGUGCGAAUGCUGACAUAAGUAACGAUAAAGCGGGUGAAAAGCCCGCUCGCCGGAAGACCAAGGGUUCCUGUCCAACGUUAAUCGGGGCAGGGUGAGUCGACCCCUAAGGCGAGGCCGAAAGGCGUAGUCGAUGGGAAACAGGUUAAUAUUCCUGUACUUGGUGUUACUGCGAAGGGGGGACGGAGAAGGCUAUGUUAGCCGGGCGACGGUUGUCCCGGUUUAAGCAUGUAGGCGGAGGUUCCAGGUAAAUCCGGUACCUUUUAACGCUGAGGUGUGAUGACGAGGCACUACGGUGCUGAAGUAACAAAUGCCCUGCUUCCAGGAAAAGCCUCUAAGCAUCAGGUAACAUUAAAUCGUACCCCAAACCGACACAGGUGGUCAGGUAGAGAAUACCAAGGCGCUUGAGAGAACUCGGGUGAAGGAACUAGGCAAAAUGGUGCCGUAACUUCGGGAGAAGGCACGCUGGUGUGUAGGUGAAGUCCCUGCGGAUGGAGCUGAGACCAGUCGAAGAUACCAGCUGGCUGCAACUGUUUAUUAAAAACACAGCACUGUGCAAACACGAAAGUGGACGUAUACGGUGUGACGCCUGCCCGGUGCCGGAAGGUUAAUUGAUGGGGUUAUCCGUAAGGAGAAGCUCUUGAUCGAAGCCCCGGUAAACGGCGGCCGUAACUAUAACGGUCCUAAGGUAGCGAAAUUCCUUGUCGGGUAAGUUCCGACCUGCACGAAUGGCGUAAUGAUGGCCAGGCUGUCUCCACCCGAGACUCAGUGAAAUUGAACUCGCUGUGAAGAUGCAGUGUACCCGCGGCAAGACGGAAAGACCCCGUGAACCUUUACUAUAGCUUGACACUGAACAUUGAGCCUUGAUGUGUAGGAUAGGUGGGAGGCUUUGAAGCGUGGACGCCAGUCUGCGUGGAGCCAACCUUGAAAUACCACCCUUUAAUGUUUGAUGUUCUAACGUUGGCCCCUUAUCGGGGUUGCGGACAGUGUCUGGUGGGUAGUUUGACUGGGGCGGUCUCCUCCCAAAGAGUAACGGAGGAGCACGAAGGUUAGCUAAUCCUGGUCGGACAUCAGGAGGUUAGUGCAAUGGCAUAAGCUAGCUUGACUGCGAGCGUGACGGCGCGAGCAGGUGCGAAAGCAGGUCAUAGUGAUCCGGUGGUUCUGAAUGGAAGGGCCAUCGCUCAACGGAUAAAAGGUACUCCGGGGAUAACAGGCUGAUACCGCCCAAGAGUUCAUAUCGACGGCGGUGUUUGGCACCUCGAUGUCGGCUCAUCACAUCCUGGGGCUGAAGUAGGUCCCAAGGGUAUGGCUGUUCGCCAUUUAAAGUGGUACGCGAGCUGGGUUUAGAACGUCGUGAGACAGUUCGGUCCCUAUCUGCCGUGGGCGCUGGAGAAUUGAGGGGGGCUGCUCCUAGUACGAGAGGACCGGAGUGGACGCAUCACUGGUGUUCGGGUUGUCAUGCCAAUGGCACUGCCCGGUAGCUAAAUGCGGAAGAGAUAAGUGCUGAAAGCAUCUAAGCACGAAACUUGCCCCGAGAUGAGUUCU